AAGGAGUACAUGAGUUAGCUACCUGUUUCUCCAACUUCGGUCAGUACAAGGCAGGAUUAGCCUGGAGACUUCUUCUAAAUGAGGGUGCACUUCCAACUUUGCGUGGAGUACCUGCAGACAAGGGACAAUUUAUUUUGUAGAUUAGGGUGAACUUGUGUGUGUUGUAGCUGGGUUUUGCCAUUGAGAA